GAGUCUCUUCUUGAGGAGAAAUGGAGAUCCAAAACAGAUGUUCAAGCACAUCAGAGGCCCCUACUGUUCUGCAUCUGCAGAGGCAGAGUCUUAUGCAGUCUGGGCUCCUGUUGUCACCGAGGCCAUUAAGCCAUCUCUGAGCACCUGCUGGGGGGCCACAUACAGCCUGAACCCUCUCCGGGAGUGUGCUGCCAAGCACUGGAGAGGAGAUUUAGUUUGGUUUUAUUCUUAUCAUGAUCAUGUUUUAUUAAUUUAUAUCUUUCAUUCCUCUAUAACAUGAGGUCCAUUUGUCAUCCAUGAAAUACCUUAAGCCAGAUCUAUACUGUUUUAACAUACCAUGUAAUAUUUGAUAGGAUUAAGAAAAGCCGUGCUUGCUUUGGCAGCACAAACACUAAAAUUGGAACCGUGCAGAGAUUAGCACAUGGCCCCUGUACAGAUGACACAUAAAUUCAUGAAGCAUAAGAAAGAAAAGAAAAACAGUAAAUUAGUGAGUUAACAGUUAACUGGAAAAGAUAUCACUUUGAAGGCAAUCCAAUGUAUUACCCUUCUACAUAUCAACCUUACCACCUGAUUCUAAAUUUAAAUACUUGCUGUUUACCAACAGGAAAUUACAACUCCAUUUACAUGUGUCUCUGGGGAAAGAGCAUGCAAAGAAUGACCACAUCUUUAUAUACGCAAGGCAAAUAUCUGGAACAAAACAAAACAAUUCUGGAAUCCUGCAUGACAUUAAUAUUUUAGGAGUAGAGCACAAGAUCCCCAAAGAACAACAACAAAAAAAACUUCACAUUAUAGAAAAAGAAAUCACAUACGCAUCAAUUUUGAGUAAGAUAGAGCAAUAUAUUUCAAACUACUUGUGCAAAACCAGUUGGUUUUUUGUUCACUUUAAUUCGUUUCAACCAAUACUUUUGUGAAAUAAGAGUCUGUUUCUAGAAAAAAUGAUAUUACAGUAAAUUAUAGAAUACAAAAUACAAGCCUCACUUUUUAAAUUAUUGAUUCAACAUAAAUAAAAUCACUCUAAAAUUGCAGUAAAAUUUGCCAAACACUUAGGCUCAGUUCAUGGCAGACCAGAUCACCAACCCACACUUGUCCAAGAACCAUAUUUUGAAUACACUGAGAUAAAGUGUCUAAAAAUGGAGAUCCUAGCCCAGCACGGUGGCUCACCCUCCUAGUCUCAGCUACUCAGGAGGCUGAGGCAGAAGGAUCCCCUGACCCCAGGAGUUUAGGCUGCAGUGAGCUAUGAUAGCACCACUGCACCCCAGCCUGGGCGCCAGGGCAAGACUCCGUCUCUUUUUGUUUUGUUUCAUUUUGAGACAGGGUCUCACUCUGUCACCCAGGCUGGAGUUCAGUGGCACGAUCUCGGCUCACUGCAAUCUCCGCCUCCUGGGUUCAAGCAAUUCUCCCGCCUCAGCCUCCCAGGCACUGGGACCACAGGUACCCGCC
rnacentral:lncRNA from 10 species